rnacentral:rRNA from 1 species
UACGUAGGGAGCAAGCGUUGUCCGGAAUCAUUGGGCGUAAAGCGCGCGUAGGUGGCCACAUAAGUCCGUUGUGAAAGUCAAAGGCUCAACCUUUGAAAGCCGAUGGAUACUGUGUGGCUAGAGUACGGAAGAGGCGAGUGGAAUUCCUGGUGUAGCGGUGGAAUGCGCAGAUAUCAGGAGGAACACCAAUAGCGAAGGCAGCUCGCUGGGACGUUACUGACACUAAGGCGCGAAAGCGUGGGGAGCGAACAGG